rnacentral:rRNA from 1 species
GGUGGAAUUUUCCGCAAUGGGCGCAAGCCUGACGGAGCAAGACCGCGUGAGGGAAGAAGGUCUGUGGAUUGUAAACCUCUUUUGAUAGGGAAGAAGACAGUGACGGUACCUAUCGAAUCAGCCUCGGCUAACUCCGUGCCAGCAGCCGCGGUAAUACGGAGGAGGCAAGCGUUAUCCGGAAUUAUUGGGCGUAAAGAGUCCGUAGGUGGGUCACCAAGUCAGUUGUUAAAUAGUGAAGCUUAACUUCAUAGAGGCGACUGAAACUGGUGGUCUAGAGUGUGGUAGGGGUAGAGGGAAUUUCCAGUGUAGCGGUGAAAUGCGUAGAUAUUGGAAAGAACACCGGUGGCGAAAGCGCUCUACUGGGCCUGCACUGACACUGAGGGACGAAAGCUAGGGGAGCGAAAGGGAUUAGAUACCCCUGUAGUCCUAGCCGUAAACGAUGGAUACUAGGCGUUGCCCGUAUCGACCCGGGCAGUGUCGUAGCCAACGCGUUAAGUAUC